rnacentral:rRNA from 1 species
CCUACGGGAGGCAGCAGUGGGGAAUAUCGCACAAUGGGCGCAAGCCUGAUGCAGCGACGCCGCGUGGGGGAUGAAGGCCUUCGGGUUGUAAACUCCUUUCGCUAGGGACGAAGCUUUUUGUGACGGUACCUAGAUAAGAAGCACCGGCUAACUACGUGCCAGCAGCCGCGGUAAUACGUAGGGUGCGAGCGUUGUCCGGAAUUACUGGGCGUAAAGGGCUCGUAGGUGGUUUGUCGCGUCGUCUGUGAAAUUUUGGGGCUUAAUUCGGGGGGUGCGUGCGAGGAGGGCGUAACGUGAGUGCUGUAGGGGUAACUGGAAUUCCUGGUGUAGCGGUGAAGUGUGCAGAUAACAGGAGGAACACCGAUGGCGAAGGCAGGUUACUGGGCAGUUACUGACGCUGAGGAGCGAAAGCAUGGGAAGCGAACAGGAUUAGAUACCCUGGUAGUC